rnacentral:lncRNA from 1 species
GUGCCAUCCUGCACCCCUUGGUGCUCAACAGUGCCCCCAGGUGUCCUUGGGGGCAUCCUGCAGCUCAUGGGAACCAAGAGCACCUUUGGGUGCCCAUGGGGCAUCCUGCGGUAACCAAGAGCACCUUUGGGUUCCCAUGGUGGCAUCCCAUGGCUCAAGGUGUCCUUGGUUGCCCAAGGGGCAUCCUGCACCCCUUGGUGCUCAAAGGUGCCCACGGUGCCAUGCUGCACCACAUGGUGCCCAACGGUCCUGCACCCCAGGGUGCUCAACAUGCCCUUGGGGCAUCCUGCAGCCUAGGACGCCCACCGGCACCCAUGGGUGACCCCAGGGUGCCCUUGGGGCAUCCUGCACCCCACGGCGUGACCCCUGCACCCCACCGCGUCCUCCUGCGUCCCAGAGCACCCCCGCCAGCUCUGCACCCCAGGGUGCCCCAUCCUUUCUGUGCCUUCGCCCAGCGCCGCGGGGGACACCCUGGGGACACCCUGGUGACACCCGUCCCGCCACCCGGCCCCCUCCCGCCCCUGUAAAUAGAAUAAAGCAGCUCAGAGGGUGCCAGCGUCCCCGUCACCUCUGUCACCCCGGGUGCUGCGUCCCCGUCGCCCCGCGUCGCCUCUGUCCCCCCGUGUCCCGGUCACUGCAGGGCGCCGUGUCCCCUCUGUCAUCCCGGGUGACACAUCCCCAUCACUGCAGUGUCCCCUCUGCCACCCCGUUUCCACCCCUGUCACCCCAGGGUGACACCUGCUCCCCCCUGCGCCCGGGGUCCCCCUGCCACAGUGUCCCCCUCCCUGGGGGUCCCUGCCAGGGUGCCACAGCCCCUGUCCCCGUCCCUGUCCCCUUUGCGCCAUCCCCCAGACCCUUGCCUUCAUCCUCAUUCCCUUUGUCCCUGUCCCUCAGCUGUGUCCCCAUCCCUGUCACCUCCAUCCUUGCCCCGUCAUGUCCCCCAGCCCCAGCUCCUCCAUCCCUGUCCCCUGUCACUGUCCUGUCCCCAUCCCCGUCACCGCCAUCCUCCUCCCCCAGCCCUGUCCCCUCCAUCGCUGCCCUGUCCUCUCUGUCCCCAUCCUGCCUUGUCCCCCAGCACCAUCCCCAGCUUUGGCACCUCCAUCCUCAUCCUGUCCCCCAUCCCUGUCCCCUCCAUUCUCAUCUUGUCCCCAGCCCUGUUCCCUCAGUCCUUGUCCUGGCUCCAUCCCCGUCCCCAUCACCUCCAUCCUCACCUGGUCCCCGAGCCCCAUCCUGUCCCCAGCUCUGUCCCCACUGGCCUUCUCCUGUCCCUCAGCCCCAUCCUUGUCACCUCCAUCCUCAUCUGGUCCCCAAGCCCCAUCCUGUCCCCACUGUCCUGCUCAUGUCCCUCAUCCCCAUCCUUGUCACCUCCAUCCUCAUCCGGUCCUCAAGCCCCAUAUUGGCCCCAGCCCCUCUAUCCUUGCCCUGUCCCUCAGCUCCAUCCCCUUCCUUGUUACCACCACCCUCACUCUGUCCCCAUCCCUGUCCCCUCCAUCCUCAUCUGGUCCCACUGGCCCAUCCCUGUCCCCAGCCCUGUCCUCUCCAUCCCUGUCCUGUCCCCAGCCCCAUCCCUGUCCCCUCCAUCCCUGUCCUGUCCCCAGCCCCAUCCCCUCUGUCCUUGCCCUGUCCCCAGGCAUCCCGCGCACCAUCACUCGCUGCCUCGUCCCCCAACCCCGUCCCCUCCAUCCCUGUCCCGUCCCUCAAACCCAUCCGCUGCCCCUCGCCCCGCAGCUGUCCCCAUGCUGUCCCCAAGCUCCCAGCGCCGUCCCCUCCGUCCCCAGCGCAGCCACACAGGGGACACGGUGUACAAAAACACCCCUCUUUAUUGACGAGGGGCCCCGAAAAGGAGGCUCCCGCCGCAGCGACGCGGCCCCGGGUGGGGGCCGGAGCUCCCGGCGACGCUGCAAGGAAGGGCAGAGCCGUGAGCGCGGGGACGUCCCCGUCCCCCUGUCCCCCCCCCGUCCCCGGUGUGCCCCCCCCCAAAAGCUCACCUCCGCCGGCGGCCCCGGGACGCCCCGCGGGCUCCUCUCCCUGGAGCGGGCGGCCGGUGGCUCCUACAAAAAGCGAAGGGGGCAGGAGUUAGCGAGGCGGCGCGGGGUUGUGGGGGGGGGGACCGGUGUCCCCCCCCCGCCCCGGGGGGAAUCCGGCGGAGCCCGUGAAGGGCUCCCGACUCGGCAGCGGGAAAACACGGCCUCGGUCUGAUCUAGAGCUAGUCUAGGCUGCCGGUAACUCGGCAGCGACUUUACCCCAGACUAAACUUAGACGGCACGUCUUUUUUUAAUAAAAAAAAAAGACACAUUUAUUCA